rnacentral:rRNA from 1 species
GACGUCAUGUGUGUCAUACUUUCGCUGCAGCGCUGCCAUAUAUUCACCCACCCUUUGUCUACGUGUACCUCUAUAGCUUCCUCGGCGUGGCUCGCCCGCCGCCAGGAACCCACGAAACCCCUUGCAUUAUACACAAAAACUUCUGAUAACAAACCUAAAUUAUUACAACUUUCAACAAUGGAUCUCUUGGUUCUGGCAUCGAUGAAGAACGCAGCGAAAUGCGAUAAGUAGUGUGAAUUGCAGAAUUCAGUGAAUCAUCGAAUCUUUGAACGCACAUUGCGGCCAUAGGUAUUCCUUUGGCCAUGCCUGUUCGAGCGUCAUUUACACCCUCAAGCCUAGCUUGGUGUUGGGCGUCUGUCCCGCCGAUUUCGCGCGCGGACUCACCUCAAAGUCAUUGGCGGCGGUCGUGCCGGCUCCUCGCGCAGCACAUUUGCGCUUCUCGGGAGGCCCGGCGGAUCCGCGCUCCACCAAAGACCUUUCAUGACUUGGACCUCCGAUCAGGUAGGGAUACCCGCUGAACUUUAUCCUAUCAAUAAGCGGAAGGAAU